rnacentral:misc_RNA from 1 species
UCGAUGUAUGACUUGUGUGGGGCGAGAGACACAACGUGGAACCGUAAUAGGAUCUGCAAGGGUUUCUCAAACCACAAAAGCCAUACACSGGUUGUAAGUCGCAUGGCGCUUAUCGAUGUAUGGCUUGUGUGGGGCGAGAGCACAACCUKGAACCCUAAUUGGAUCUGCMAGGGUUUCCCAAACCACACAAGCCAUACAUCSGUUGUWAGAMGCMUUCCAACCAAAAUUGUUGUWUUUCUUGGAUGUUGGCGAGAGGCACAACGUGAAUCCSUAAUAGGCCAUGGCGGGUGUCUUUUUAAGCAUCCAAACCAUACAACAAUUGGGGARGAUUCUUCUGGCGGGUUUCGUUCUCUUCGUAUCGUGC